rnacentral:tRNA from 1 species
UCCUAGUGCCAGAAAAGAGAGAUUCUAACUCCCACCCCUAACUCCCAAAGCUAGGAUUCUAAGUUAAACUAUUUUCUG